rnacentral:rRNA from 1 species
UACGAAGGGGGCUAGCGUUGCUCGGAAUCACUGGGCGUAAAGGAUGCGUAGGCGGGUUUUUAAGUCAGAGGUGAAAUCCUGGAGCUCAACUCCAGAACUGCCUUUGAUACUGAAAGUCUUGAGUAUGGGAGAGGUGAGUGGAACUGCGAGUGUAGAGGUGAAAUUCGUAGAUAUUCGCAAGAACACCAGUGGCGAAGGCGGCUCACUGGCCCAUAACUGACGCUGAGGCACGAAAGCGUGGGGAGCAAACAGGG